rnacentral:lncRNA from 1 species
GUGAGGCCACAGAAAGAGUCAGGAUGUUGUCUUCGGGAGACUGGGACAGGUGUGGUCCUAGGUCUAGGAUAAGAGUGGUCCUAGGGUGGAGGCCAUAGGCUUGAGAUCCAUGUAUUGAGGACUUUGAGGGGCUUGGUUGGUGCUUCGGAGACUUGAAAAUACAAGGCGGAGCAAGGAACCAGAGCCAAGGCUGAAGAUUGUAGAGAAGAAGUAGUUUUAGGGAUCUGGAUCGACUCAGAUUGAGA